UGAUAGAAAUUUUAUUUUUCUAAAUCCUAGACAAAAUAUAAUUGUAAAAGAUUAUGUAAUAUUAAUUUCCUUUUAUAAAAUCCUAAAAAAAUUGUAAAAGAAUUUUUGAUAGUUGUUUUCCUUUUUUAUAAAAACAAAUCCUAAAGAAAAAAAAUGUGUAUCAUAUUUUUAAGCCCUAACCAAAAGAGAAUUGGAAAAAAUUAUUUGAAAAUAUUUUUAAGAGAGUAUUUGAUUAUGAACAUGUUACUAAAAAUUAUUAAAUUAAAAAAAAGUAUAAUUUAAAAAUUAUUUAUUAAUAACUAAAAAUAAUUAUUGGAUAGCAAUUUAUUUUUUCUGAAAUUCUAAAGAGAAGAUAGUUGUAAUAGGUUAUAUGACAGUAACUUUCAUUUUCUAAAAUCUUAAACAAAAUGGUAAAAGAGUAUUUAAUAUUACUUUUUAAUUGUAAAUAAAAAGGAGAUUUAUAAAAUAUAAUGUUUUCAUUUUUUUAAAAAAGUCCUAACAAAAGAAAAAUUUAAAGACUUAUUUAAUAAAACAUUAAAUUAGUACAUAAGAAGAUGUAUAAUGUUGUCAUUGACUCGACUGGUGUAUUUGACUUUCAUUUCUGUUUACUUUUCAUUCAGUUUCUUAUUUUGGGUUGUGUUCAGUUUAAACGUUUAGGUAUAGUAUUUUCUCUAAUCCUAAGUCCAAAGUUUAUAACAAAUCAUCUAUGCACCAUGAUUAUAAAAUACAAAUAUUAACUUGAACUUAUGUGUGAAAACGAGUUUUAAUUAUAAAAUAAAUCUCAAACAACAUAUG